UACGGGGGGAGCAAGCGUUGUUCGGAUUUACUGGGCGUAAAGGGCGCGUAGGCGGCCAGCACAAGUCAGUUGUGAAAUCUCCGGGCUUAACCCGGAGCGGUCAAGUGAUACUGUCGUGCUAGAGUGCGGAAGGGGCUACUGGAAUUCUCGGUGUAGCGGUGAAAUGCGUAGAUAGUCGAGGAGACACCUGCGGCGAAGGCGGGUAGCUGGGCCGACACUGACGCUGAUGCGCGAAAGCCAGGGGAGCGAACGGG
rnacentral:rRNA from 1 species